rnacentral:misc_RNA from 1 species
GAAGAAAAUUUUAUGAAUUUUUAGAUGACUCAUGUGUGCUUGCAGUAUAGAAAAUAAAGUCUAAUAAUAUUAAAAUUCAAGCGUUAGGAUUAGAGUUGUAAUAAGUUAUCAAGGCUUGAUUUCUGUUAAUACAUGAAAUUUCAAUGUCUAACCGUAAGAAAUAAGCAACUUUUCCCAAUUUUAAUUCUCACGGGAUUGCAGUGGCUC